CAAUGGCCUUCGUCUCCGUCCUUCCGUGAGAAGCCUCCGUCCGCGUUCACCGUUUCUCUCUCCUCUGGCUCCGACCCUCCGACGACUCUCGUGGUGGCGUCGCCUGCUUGUGCUUGGAGGUUCCGGUCCUCUGGAGGAGGCCUUGCCCCUCGGCCUCGGGAGAGAGGGAGGGAGGGAAGGAAGGAAUCUUCUAGAAGCCUUUCCCGCGGCCGAUGAAGGAAGCCAGCAGCAGCCGUGUCGGCGCCGCCGGUGCCGGCGCUGAGGACGUCGGUUCCUCGUCCGUGUCCAACAAUUGUUUCCCACAAGAUGAGGGUACAAGCUCCAGCGAAAUGGACAAUACUGAAUUCUCUGAGACGUCCUCAGAGGUGUCAGGUUCUGAGAGAACAAGACCUGUAGAUAGCAAAAAUGCAUCUUCCGUACUUGAUACGAUAUCUAUUAAAAAGAAGCUAAAAUUGUUUAGUCGAAUGGCUACACUGAAAGAUGAUGGAACUGUAGUUGUUGAUAUCCCCACUAAUAUUGAAGCUGCGUCACUUGAUCUUCCUUCUGAGGAUCACCACAAUGUGGCCUUUGGUGGCGGAACAUUGGACUCUUCAGAUCUUCAGUACAGGCCACCAAUGCAAAUUGCUAUGCUGAUUGUUGGUACAAGAGGGGAUGUUCAGCCAUUCAUAGCUAUAGGAAAACGUUUGCAGGACUACGGUCAUCGUGUUAGAUUAGCAACCCAUGCCAACUUCAAGGACUUCGUGAUGACUACUGGGUUGGAGUUUUAUCCCCUUGGUGGAGAUCCAAAAAUUCUUGCUGGAUACAUGGUUAAGAACAAAGGAUUCUUGCCUGCAACUCCAUCAGAAAUUCCUAUCCAGCGCAAGCAGAUUAGGGACAUCAUAUUCUCCUUGCUUCCUGCUUGCAAGGAUCCGGACAUUGAUACUGGUGUUUCUUUUAGUGCGGACGCCAUAAUAGCUAAUCCAGCAGCAUAUGGACAUGUACAUGUGGCAGAGGCUCUCAAUAUACCGAUUCACAUAAUUUUCACAAUGCCGUGGACGCCUACCUGUGAAUUUCCACAUCCUUUCUCUCAUGUGAAGCAACCUGCUGGAUAUAGACUUUCAUACCAGAUUGUUGACUCUUUUGUCUGGCUUGGCAUAAGGGAUAUGAUAAAUGAUCUCCGAAAAAGGAAAUUGAAAUUGAGACCAGUUACAUACCUAAGUGGUACACAUGCUUAUUCGAAUGAUAUUCCUCAUGCAUAUAUCUGGAGUCCUUACCUUGUCCCAAAACCAAAAGACUGGGGACCUAAAAUUGAUGUUGUUGGAUUUUGUUUCCUUGAUCUUGCUUCAAAUUAUGAGCCUCCCGAGCCCCUUUUGAGGUGGUUAGGGAGUGGUGAGAGUCCUAUUUAUAUUGGUUUUGGUAGCCUUCCAAUCCCAGAACCAGAUAAGUUGACAAGAAUCAUUGUCCAAGCGCUUGAAAUUACUGGACAAAGAGGUAUCAUUAACAAGGGUUGGGGCGGGCUUGGAAAUUUGGAAGAAUCAAAGGAAUUUGUGUAUGUACUUGAUAAUGUUCCACAUGAUUGGCUCUUUUUGCAAUGCAAAGCUGUGGUAAGACCUGUCUUUCUUUCUCAGAUGCUUAUACGCCAAAAAUCAAGUAUGAUGGUUUAACAUGGAGGAAAGCUUAUGCAGAUGAAGCUGGGGAAGAAUUAGAGAUGAGCUUUGCUGAUUGCAAAUCAUGUGUAUAGUUGCAUUCCUCAUUGCAUGUUAGGCUGUGUUGUCCUGGAAUUCAUACUUGGGAUUCUAAUAAAAAUAUAGAAGCAGUUGGAUUUGUAACUAAUGGGGUUGAAUAAAUAAAUACACAAAGAUUAGGAAUACUUAAAGAAUCAGUGGGAUUCUCUGAUCAUGUUAUUGAACAAAGGUAGUGAAAUGCAAGUGGUUCCUUGUAUUUUUGCAGACUUGAGAGACUGAAUGAAGUCAUGCCCUGUGAAGCUGUGACAAUGGAAGUGCUUGACAUUUCCUUUGUCUUAGUUUUACCUCUGACAAUAGCUCUGGCUAUGCUAUGUGCUGUGUCUGAAAACUUGCAAUAGUGCACUGAUUUUAAUUGUUGAGUGUGGUUUCUUCUAUAUUUGUUCUGAGUGUGAUAUUGCUGUGCUAUGUAAAAACAGUUCAGACCCAGGAAUGGCAGUUGAUCGACGUACACCAUGGUGGUGCUGGCACUACUGCUGCUGGUCUUAAGGCUGGGUGCCCCACUACCAUCAUACCAUUCUUUGGUGAUCAAUUCUUUUGGGGCAGCAUGGUGCAUGCCAGAGGAUUGGGGGCGCCACCUAUACCUGUGGAGCAAUUACAAUUGCAAUCACUGAUUGAUGCAAUCAAAUUUAUGAUUGAUCCAAAGGUAAAGGAACGAGCUGUUCAGCUAGCAAAGGCAAUCGAAUCAGAAGAUGGUGUUGAUGGGGCUGUAAAAUCCUUUUUAAAACAUCUUCCACAGAAAAGGGAUUCCGAGGCAACGCCAACUGCACCACAGUCAACAUUCAUGCAACCGCUGCUUCUCCCUGUAAAGAGGUGUUUUGGCAUGGCAUCCUAAUUCCUAACCCCGCAUUUCCAAGCACCUGCUUUGGCUUUGUGGCAAGUGGCAUCACCGGUCCGGAACAAGUUGCGCCACAUGCUUAGGAGAAGGGGAAGUACCAACAUGCGUAGCCAGUCGUUUCAUCCUACCUAUAAAGAUUAAAGAAUGUAGAGGCCUGUUUGGUUCCCCUUACUAAAUUUUAAUCAGCUGUGACUAGUGGAACUAAACUAUUUUAGCUCCUUUUAGUCAGUGUGUUUGGAAGUUUAGCUACUAAAGUGACUAAAAUUUAGCUGGCUAAAAUUUAGAAAGGGAAUCAAACAUGCCCUAUGUAGAGCUACUAAGUUUUUGAAUUUUUAUAUAUAUGUAUAUAGCUUGUGGUAAGUGUGCAUACAAUACGGUAACUUGAGACUUCGGCUCCUUACAACUGUAUAUAUAUUACAAAACUAAGCGGGAUAUACGGAAUUUCAUCCAAACUUUUGUCCACCCAAUUAUUUGAUCUGAA